GAUGAAGAACGUAGCGAAAUGCGAUAAGUAGUGUGAAUUGCAGAAUUCAGUGAAUCAUCGAAUCUUUGAACGCACAUUGCGCCCCUUGGUAUUCCAUGGGGCAUGCCUGUUCGAGCGUCAUUUGUACCUUCAAGCUUUGCUUGGUGUUGGGUGUUUGUCCCUCGGGACUCGCCUUAAAGUCAUUGGCAGCCAGUGUUUUGGUUUUGAAGCGCAGCACAAGUCGCGAUUCAAGGCUAUCCGCCCGCUUCCACAAGCCUUUUUCACUUUUGACCUCGGAUCAGGUAGGGAUACCCGCUGAACUUAAGCAUAUCAAUAAGCGGGGA
rnacentral:misc_RNA from 1 species